UCUAGUGAUGAUGGCGAAGAGGUCACACCCGUUCCCAUACCGAACACGGAAGUUAAGCUCUUCAGCGCCGAUGGUAGUU
rnacentral:rRNA from 1 species